rnacentral:rRNA from 1 species
UACGUAGGAUCCGAGCGUUGUCCGGAAUUACUGGGUGUAAAGGGCGUGUAGGUGGGUCUUCAAGUCGGUGGUGAAAUGCUGCAGCUCAACUGCAGAACUGCCUCCGAUACCGUUGAUCUUGAGUGCGGCAGAGGGAAACGGAAUUCAUGGUGUAGCGGUGAAAUGUGUAGAUACCAUGAAGAACACCGGUUGCGAAGGCGGUUUCCUGGUCCGUUACUGACACUGAGGCGCGAAAGCGUGGGGAGCAAACAGG